ensembl:lncRNA LRRC77P leucine rich repeat containing 77, pseudogene
GUUGUUUAUGUAAGAAUUUCAAGGCCACAACUCCAUAUUUGAAGUAAAGUGCUCAUAAAAUUAAUUGCAAGGAAAUCCAUCACUAUGAUUCAACUUCUGAAGAGAGAUUUGCUAGGAAAAAUAAAAAGAUAUAUAAAUUUCAGUGAUGCUGAAGGUUUUGAGAAGCCAUCUGCAGCUCACAACUAGAUGAGUGACACAAUCAGAUGUGCGUAUGCAAAAAAAAGCCUGGAGACAUUGAACUAAGAUCAAAUUUAAUGUAUUAAAUAUGGUAGAAAGAAGAGAGAAUGAAAAAUAAUGUUAACAAUCUAGGUGAGGAAUUGCUGAGGAGACAAAUUAAGUAAAUCCUGUGGAAGGAAAGAAGAAAGGAGGAAAGAGGAUUGGAUGGAAGAAUCUCCACUUCUCAUAGGUGUAGUCCUUCCUUAGCCUGCUUUUUAAUGAGUGCUGCUAAAGCCCUUAGCCUGCCUGUUUACCCUUGGAGUGGAGCAAUGAACUGAAGAUAUUUGAGUGAGUUCAAGAGAGACUCAGAAGAGAAGAAUUGGAGGCAGCAAACAUAGACAGCACUUUUAAUGCUUUUCUCAUAUGCUGUAAGACAUGAAAGCAAUCUAUUGGGAUGAAAGCUGAAAGGAGAAGCGGGACAAGAGAAGUGAAUCCGUGGAAGACCCCCAAAAGAGGCUGCAGAUUCUUAGUGGACAGCUCUCAUAUCCCCUCCAGGGAAAAUGAUGAAAAAUGUCUUCAGAAAAAUAGCUUUAUGAAGGCAAGAGGACUUUUUGCACCUGCAAGACAUGUCUGAAAGCUCCUCAGGUCAAAACACAAGUAGUCAAGAGAUUUGUCCAUCUAAUUCAUCAUACUACUCUGAUCCAAGUGAGACCCACACUGGGUCAGCUCCAUCAAGGAGAAGAACAUUCCACCCACGUUUGGAUUCUGGAAUAUCAUCCUUGCUUCCAUCAGAUUCUUGUAAGUACCUCACUUGGCACAAGGUAGACAUGACGUUCAAGGAAGUCAACUGCGUUGCCCAAGAGUAAGAGAAGGAAUCUCUGAAGAAGAGCAACUUUUCAGACAGGUAGAGUGUGCCUUGCUCCCAAGGAAAAGAGUUCUUGAAAAAAACAAAUGGGAAACAUGGCUACAAGAAAACUGGGAAGACUGCAAGAAAAUCUCAGAAUCUGCUUGAGAAUCCGGUCCUUCUUCCUCCAUACACCCAUGGAACACUCCCAAACUCUGUAUGCUGCUCACUAAUUCUGAUUAAGGUCUUCACCCUCCCUACCUUGGAAAUUGCUACAACAUAAUUGUGUUUGUAUGUAUAAUUAAUAUAUACAAUACAUUUUAAAUGAAUAACUAAAGUUGACAAAAA